rnacentral:sRNA from 1 species
GGUUAUGAGGGAAAACAGGCUGUGACAUCUGUCAACACAUUGAUUUCCAGGGUUGAUACAGAUGGUCUGCGCUGAUCCCUGUUCUCCCUCAAACCCCAUUUGCGUCCCUUCCAAAACUACCUGCUCAUCCACGUAAAUGACCUUCUCAAGGAGGACCAGUCAAAAAAAAAAAAAAAUGAGGACCAGUCAUGAAGGGUAUUUAAAAGGUAUAUUUCCUUGCUAU